rnacentral:rRNA from 1 species
GACGAACGCUGGCGGCGUGCCUAAUACAUGCAAGUCGAACGCAGUGGGGACGGGUGAGUAAAACGUGGGUAACCUCCCAUCAGAGGGGAUAAACGUUGGAAACAGGUGCUAAACCGAUACUGAUGGAUGGAGCCGCGGUGCAUUAGCCUGUUGGUGAGGUAACGGCUCACCAAGGCCACGAUGCAUAGCCGACCUGAGAGUGUGAUCGGCCACACUGGGACUGAGACACGGCCCAGACUCCUACGGGAGGCAGCAGUAGGGAAUAUUCGGCAAUGGGCGAAAGUCUGACCGAGCAACGCCGCGUGAGUGAAGAAGGUUUUCGGAUCGUAAAGCUCUGUUGGUAGAGAAGCGUUAUCUAACCAGAAAGCCACGGCUAACUACGUGCCAGCAGCCGCGGUAAUAC